UACGGGAGGCAGCAGUGGGGAAUAUUGCACAAUGGGCGCAAGCCUGAUGCAGCCAUGCCGCGUGUAUGAAAAAGGCCUUCGGGUUGUAAAGUACUUUCAGUCGUGAGGAAGGUGUUAAGGUUAAUAACCUUAGCAAUUGACGUUAGCGACAGAAGAAGCACCGGCUAACUCCGUGCCAGCAGCCGCGGUAAUACGGAGGGUGCGAGCGUUAAUCGGAAUUACUGGGCGUAAAGGGCACGCAGGCGGUUAAUUAAGUUGGAUGUGAAUCCCCGGGCUUAACCUGGGAAUGGCAUUCAAGACUGGUUAGCUAGAGUCUUGUAGAGGGGGUAGAAUUCCAUGUGUAGCGGUGAAAUGCGUAGAGAUGUGGAGGAAUACCGGUGGCGAAGGCGGCCCCUGGACAAAGACUGACGCUCAUGUGCGAAAGCGUGGGGAGCAAACAGGGAUUAGAUACC
rnacentral:rRNA from 1 species